GAUCCUGGCUCAGGAUGAACGCUAGCUACAGGCUUAACACAUGCAAGUCGAGGGGCAGCAUGGUCUUAGCUUGCUAAGGCCGAUGGCGACCGGCGCACGGGUGAGUAACACGUAUCCAACCUGCCGUCUACUCUUGGACAGCCUUCUGAAAGGAAGAUUAAUACAAGAUGGCAUCAUGAGUUCACAUGUUCACAUGAAUUAAAGGUAUUCCGGUAGACGAGUGGGGAUCG
rnacentral:rRNA from 1 species